rnacentral:rRNA from 1 species
UAGUCCACGCCGUAAACGAUGAUAACUAGCUGUUCGGGCCCACAGGGCUUGAGUGGCGCAGCUAACGCAUUAAGUUAUCCGCCUGGGGAGUACGGUCGCAAGAUUAAAACUCAAAGGAAUUGACGGGGGCCUGCACAAGCGGUGGAGCAUGUGGUUUAAUUCGACGCAACGCGCAGAACCUUACCAGCUUUUGACAUCCUGGUCGCGGAUUUGGGAGACCAUUUCCUUCAGUUCGGCUGGACCAGUGACAGGUGCUGCAUGGCUGUCGUCAGCUCGUGUCGUGAGAUGUUGGGUUAAGUCCCGCAACGAGCGCAACCCUCAUACUUAGUUGCCAGCAUAUAAAGAUGGGGACUCUAAGUAAACUGCCUACGCAAGUAGGAGGAAGGUGUGGACGACGUCAAAUCAUCAUGGCCUUUAUGCCUAGGGCUACACACGUGCUACAAUGGUAUCGACAAAGAGUUGCGAACUUGUGAGAGUAAGCCAAUCUCAAAACGAUA